UCCGGGGGGGACAGAGGGGGGACUUGGGGGAUCCCUGAAGGGAAUCUGGGGGGCUGGCGGGGACCCCGCGUCACUCCCCGCAUCCCCCCCGCAGAAGCUCAGCCUGGAGCAGCGAACGGAGCGUCUGAUGCAAAGGAGCCAGGCCCUGCUCAGGCCCCGCCCCUGCGGGCCAGAGGGGGCGGGGCCUCUGCUUGGCUCCGCCCCCUCCAGCUCCAUGCUCGAUGACCCCCUCGUUCAAUGGCGCUCGAGGCGGUGCCGAGGGGCGGAGCCAUCGCUGGACACGCCCCUGGUAGGCGGGCCCAUGCUGGGCUCUGCUGCUCCCCAGGGCGCCCUGCACGGAGUGCCACGGGGGCGGUCGCUGGGGGCCCCCGGGGCCCUGCAGGGCGCAGCACCCUGGGAGUCACGUGACCCCUCUAAGGCCCCAUGGCCAAUCAGGAGACACUUCCGCAAGCAGCAGGGGGCGUCUGCACCCCAGGCUGUCUCCCCGGAACCCUUGUGGCAGGAGCCAUGUUGGAGGUCACAUGACUCCCACAAGGCCCGCUGGCCAAUAAGGAGCAGCUCACUGGAUACCCUGCAGGGGGCAGGAUACUCACAGUCACGUGACUCCCACGAGGCCCUGUGGCAAAUCAGCAGCUGUUGUGCAUCUGCGCACCAGGGGGCGCCACUCCAUGGGAAGCAAGAGUGCCACGAGCCCUUGCGGCAUGAGCCAUUUUGGGACUUAUAUGACUGCCUCGGAGAUCUGCAGUGUGCACCAUAUCGGAAGUCACGUGACUCCCAGGAUGCCCUGCGGCCAGUAAGGGAGGCGCAUCCUGAGCUCCUGUGCCGGGGAGCGCCAGGCUUGGGGUCACGUGACCCCUGCAAGGCCCCACAGCCAAUCCGGAGCAGUGCCGGUGAUGCCCUACAGGGGGCGCCAUUGCAGCAGCCACUGGGUGAGGAGCCCUCAUGGGUCAUGGGGUCACUUGAAAGCUGGGGGUCGCUUCCGGGUCAUGGGGGUCACUUGUGGGUCAUGGGGGAGUCACUUGUGGGUCAUGGGGGAGUCACUUGAUGGUCAUGGGGGAGUCACUUGAGAGUCAUGGGGGUCACUUAUGGGUCAUGGGGGAGUCACUUGAGAGUCAUGGGGGAGUCACUUGUGGGUCAUGGGGGCACUUGAGGGUCAUGGGGGGCCACUGAUGGGGCUGGAGGUGGCCUUGUGGGCCAGGGGAUCACUGAUGGGCCAGGGGGUGCUUUUGUGGGCCAGGAGUGGUCACUUGUGGGCAGGGGUGAGAGCCACUUGUGGGUCAGGGAUCACUUGAGGGGGCACUUGUGGGUUGGGGAGGCUCUUGUGGGUCAGGAAGUCCCUUGUGGGGCUGGGGGAACACUUGUGGGACUGCCACCCCUGUGACAUGCAGACCCCCCAGGCCCACUGGGGGACCCCCUCCUCUGGAUGCUGCGACGCCACCGCCGGGCCAUAAGGGGACGCCUUCGGUAGGACACCCCCACCCCCAAAUUUCAGGGGUCUGCCACUGCGCCUCCCCUAGGCCCCUCUAAUCCCCCCUCUGCUCUCCCUUCUCCCCCCAGGGCCAUCGAGACUCUUCUGGAAUGCCCACCUGGGCACCCCCAACCCAUGGUGGGACCAAUAAAGCAGUGACACCCCAAAAUUGCACCAGGGAGGUGGGGAGACCCCCAGAAUCCUCUCCUUUACCUCCCCUACCUUUAGGAUUGCCCCAAUCCCCUCUCCCCCCAUAUGCCCCCAAGAGCAUUUCGGGGAUUCUGGGAGCUCGAAGGAGGGUGUUGCUGAGGUGCUGGGUGUCUCUGGGGGGUCCAUGAGGAUCUGUGGGGUGUUUGGAGGGGCUCUGAGGCUGCAGAAGGGGUUUGGGGGGUGCAUGGGGAGCGCUGGAAAUUGGGAGUGGUUUGGGAGGCCCUAGGUCUCUAUAGGGGUUCUGGAAGAAACCUGUGGGAUUUUGGGGGGGCACUCUAUGGGUGUUGAGGGAGAUCUGUGGAAGAUGUUGGGGGUCCAGAAAGGGGUUUGCAGGGACCCUUGGGUUUUGGGGGUCUUUAAGGGUCCGGGGGUCUGUGGGAUGUUUUGGGAAUCCCAGGACAGGGCUGGAGGGUCUGUGAGGACCAGGAAGUCUACAGGGGUGUCUGGGGGGUUACUGAGCGUAUCGGGGCAGGGAACCCCCAAACCUGUGGGGCCGUGGCUCACCUGUCUUCUUACCCUCACGGCCGACGUGGCGUCGGGGCAUUCUGGUGUUGCCCUGCCCCUGAGAGCGCUCUGGGGGGUCAUGAGGGGCCUCAGAAACCCCUCCUGAGCCCCCCAAAAUCCCUGGGGAAACCCCUGGGGCCCCCCCCCCGCCUCCAGCUCACCGCUGGCUCGCGCCAGUUUACUCGCUUUCUGGACUACAAUUCCCGAAAUGCCGCGGGCCCCGGAGAACGCCUUGGGGGGGGGGGGGGGGGGGGGGGGGGGGGGGGGGGGGGGGGGGGGGGGGGGGGGGGGGGGGGGGGGGGGG
rnacentral:lncRNA from 12 species